rnacentral:lncRNA from 1 species
CUCCCCUGUGUAUUCUCUUCCUAAGCUUCCACUAGGUCUGGCCUUGGCAACCUGUUACUGCCAAGGUUUCAGAUUCAAUGAACUAUUUCUCAUCAUGUUGAAAACUCUUUCUUUGGGUGGAUGGACAGAGCUGUAGAUUGACAAAACUCACAGAUAUUUUUAAUGCACCAAAUUUAGUCCUAGAACUCCAAAUAGGCUUAUUUUACUAAAAAAAAAAAAAUUCCCUUGAAAAAGUAAGAUUUGAUUUACUUAUAAGAACUUACAGUUGAAUGACAAGGAUGGUAAUAAUAUGUUCAAUCAAACUUGUUCUUUUCUUUUGGCCAUGUACAAUCAAUGUGAUCAUUAAUUUACUAGCUAUAAUGUUAAUAUACCACAUUUGUAAGUAUGUAUUCAAACACUGUGUAUCUUAUAUGCUAAGUGCAUACACAUUUUUUCUUUGAACUUAUCUUCACGUUUUAGCUAAUAAUGUGUCAAUGUAUUAGAAACAAACUUACAUACAGUACAAAUGAUGUGAUAAAUUUAGAGUACAUUUUGUGUAGUCUUAUUUAAUUAUUUAACAUUUUGUUUUUGGUAAUGUAAAUUUGGCUAGAAAAAUGUCAUUGUUAAAUGAUCAGUGUUAUUGUGUAUUGGUGACAGUUUAUGAAGAGCCUCUGUCUUCUUAAAUAUUUGCCACACACUUUCUUUGAAGUGGAGAAAAAUAAACUCAAAAUAUCACACAUUCUGCAAUUCUAUAAAUGCAGUCCUGUCACAAGC